CCUGGGCCAAAACUCUCUGUGGGAAACAAGCUUCUAGAAUCACUAGGUCUCCCUCUCUUUUUGAUGACAGCUCCACAGUUGCUGAAUUACUAGCUGGUUACUUGGGACAAAUUCACUUGGUUAUGGAAUGCCACAUUCAUUCAUGGAUGCUGCACACAUUUAUUGACUACUUACUGUCAGGUUCUGACCAUUAUGGAAUAUUCUUCUACAACUGAGAAAGUGCAGCUACUGAAUGCAGUCUUUCCCUUAUUGGCACAACAUCAAUCUAAAGUCGAUUGGAGAAACCUGAACAUGUUUAUAUCCUGAAGGAAAUGAGCCAGCAGAGAGGACUGUUUAAAGAUUCCCACAAUAAACAGGGAAACCACACAGAUCUACAUCUACUAAAAGAAUGAAGCAUUUUUCUGUUACUUCUCUCGAAUUCUGACCCAAAUGCAGAAUGUGUUUCCCUCCUCCAAACUAGCAUCAGAAAUUUGGACACUGUGUUUGUUUGAGGAGGCUGGAAGUUCUGUUUCUCAGUGAGUCACAGGAGACCAGCAUGGGCCUCUGUGGGCUGUUCUGGAGAGCAGUAUAGUCAGCGGACUUGCUCCUUUAGCCUUCUGACUUGAAACAAAAUUUAAUCUCUGCACCCAGUGUAAUGACUUGAAACCCACAGAAGUCAGGGUAUACCUAUACUUCUAGAAUGGAAAGGAAUUCUUAUUUGUAAACCCUUCAGAAUUCUCCUGUAGGUUAUUCUGAGAGGAACACAGCCACCAAGUGUGAUGAAUUCUAGGCUAGGACAGUUCAGGAACCUUCUUUCCAUGAAUGCCACCUGAAACACACACACACACACACACACACACGAAGAAGCAAAUGAAGAGAGAGGUUGUACAAUUCUCUCUUUUUAAGAAUCACAGAUUUUUAGUGCUUGGAGGACAUUUUUAGAAUGAUUUAGUUCAAUACUCUCAUUUUACAGUUGAAGAAAUUGAGGCAUAAUAAAAACAUAAUAAUAACAGCAUAACGAUAAUAAAUUAUAGUUAUAAUGUGCUCUCACAUAAAUGAACUCAUUUGAUCCUCAGAGAGUCUUUGAAAGAAAGGGAACAAAACAAAACCAAAACAGAAUGGAUUGAAAUUGCACCUUAAACAUUAUUUUUUAAUCCUCUCACUUUUAUAAGAUGGCAGCAUUUAUCUCCCUCUUCCUCCUGCUAUAAAUUAGUAACAUUAUUUCCAUUUUGCAAGUAAGGAAAUAAGGUUAAGAGACAUAAAAGGAUAUGCUUGAUUGCAGACAAAUUUCCUGGGUCUAGAACUCAACAGACCUCAGGAUUCUUUGAUUUCAGAGAUUUUAGAAAUAUAUAUUUUUAUAACAUUUUAUGCUCAUCAAAAUAGUUUCACUUACACAGUCUAAUUAGUCAUUAUGACAACCCCGUAUGAUGGAUGAAACCACAAAGAAAUUGAAAGACUUGUUCAGUCUCAUAAGUUAGUUAGCUGUGUGCUGGCAGCAAAGCAACAAUUGGGCUCUGAAGUUUCUUUCUCCCAUAUACCAGUUGUUCUCAUUCCUGCCUGCAAAUUGGAAUUAUCCAGAGAGCUUUAAAAAAAAUACAAGCGUCUGGGCCCUGCCCCAGACUAAUUGAAUCAGCAUCCCUGGUGGAUGAGCCCUGGGUGUCUGUAUUUUUUUUUAAAGCUUUCCAGGUGAUUCUUAGGCCUAGGUUGAGAAUCACUGCAACAUAUACAUUUAAAGUUAUCUUUUGUUCCACACAGCCUGAUUUCCUCUUCUGCAGCAAUAGCUAACAUUUUGGUAACUGUUCUGGAGGGAAUGUGAGAUUCAUUGUAUUUUAGCUCUCCACUGAACAGAAACAGUGCUACUGUGUGUGCAAGCAUCUUGUAACAUAGGUUACCAAAGUCCUAUGGAAUUAAAAAAAAAAAAAAAGAAAAAGAAAAAGAAAAAAAAAGUCUUCAACCUAUGCUACUUUAAGGCAGUCAAACACUUUC